rnacentral:misc_RNA from 1 species
AGUUUAAGAGAAGUUUAUGUAUUAAAUUAUUGAUAUUAAAUAGUUUUAUUAGGCUUAGACUUAAUUUUAGGUCAUUUUGGGGGUUUAGCUCAGUUGGCUAGAGCAUCGGCUUUGCAAGCCGAGGGUCAAGGGUUCGAGUCCCUUAACCUCCAUUGGGCUUAUGCCCUAAAUUGUAAUUAAGUAUGUUUUUAAGUAACUUUGUUAAAGUAAUUGUUGGAAUGUGAAACACAAGAAGUUAAAAUUUCUGGGUUAAGUUGAGAUCUGUUGAUAUUAAGAAAAAUGUCUAGAAGCAAAAGCAAGCUUUCGAUAAAACCCGAAGUUGUUUCGCUAAAGUGCAAGGAUUAAMCAGGAUUGUAUUUUUCASCAGCCUAUUUUAUAAACGAUCUGCAUUUAGUAAAUAGUUUUUAGUUAGGAAAUAAUGUAGAUUACUAAGUGUGAUGUCUGAGAGAAGGACAAGUAUUGUASCGAGCUUAAAUCCUUAUUAUCGUUGCCAGUAUUUAGUGGUAGGGAUUCGGAUAAGAUUGCCAGUUAUAAGUUGGAGGAAGGCAAAGAUUGCAUUAAAUCGUUAUCGCUCUUAUGUUUUAGGUUMCAAGUUUGCAACAAUAACUCAAAAAAGCCAAGCAAAAUACUAUAAAGCAGAUUUCAGUUUGGAUUUGCCCGACACUCAAUGGCAUGAAGUUGUAAUUGUUAGUAAUCGUGUAUACCUUAAUAUAGAAAUUGAAUAAAUUUUUGUUUUUCUUAUUAAUUAUAGCUUAAAACAGUAUUGUCGU